rnacentral:tRNA from 1 species
GUCAGGGUGGCCGAGCGGUCCAAGGCGCCAGACUCAAGAUGUCACUUCUUCCCAUUAGUUGGGACUUCUGGUCUCCGAGUGGAGGCGUGGGUUCGAAUCCCACUCCUGACA